rnacentral:lncRNA from 1 species
AAAAUCAGUUUAGAAGGUCAAGUUUUCCCAUAAUACANUAUAAAGCAUUACAGGCCCAGUUUAGCAUUUAGCCAUGUAAUUGACUAGUCCAUUAAUUUAGAAAAUGAAGUCAGUUUGUGCAACCCCCAGGUUUACUAAUCCUAUUACAAAAAAUGAAAUUUAAAAAGGAUAAGCAUAGAUGCAAAAUGAAACCUCUAUUCUGCUGUUCUGCUGUUUUUGAUUGAUGCUGGAACCAUGUUUUUGGAAGUGAAUCUAGCAACUUCCCUCUCUAUCCCUCUUACUCUUGUAGAAUUUAUCACACUUCUCUUUGUUUUANN